rnacentral:lncRNA from 1 species
GCUGAUGCAUAGAAGCAUAUUAAUGAUAAGUCAAAAGCCGAUGCAUGGGUCGGCGGGUCAAUCGGGACCCAAGAGUGCUAGUGUCCUCAGUUCGGACCAAAGAUAUUUUCUAUCAACAACAUACGCCCCCUACUCAUAAGUUCGAGUUAGAGUAGGAUCGGACGAAGGGAGUAUAGUUAGAUCAGGUUCACCGAAGACACGUGCCAUGCCUCCAUUAUUCAAAUAAAAAGAUGCUUCUGCAGCCUUUGGAUAGAUUGAACCAUCAUGUCAG